GUGAAGGAUGUUCGUCAGUUGUCCCCACAGCAUCAGACCUUUUCACUAGAGGCAUUUCACUCUCUCCUGCUGCACUUUGCACCAAAACACACUGGGUUCUCCUUCCUUGGAAUGUACAGCCGACUUCUCCUUGCGGCCCUGCACUUUAACCACAACUCCGACAGACAAGAUGCUCAAACCAGUGAUGGUGAGGCGCGUUAUGCUGUUCGCUAACCUAGGUUCCGCAAAGGUGGCUGGGUAGUCUGUCCUGUUAAGGAAAAGCCAUCAUACACAUAUGCAUCAUCCCUCAUGGAGUCUCUUAGAGUGGAAUAUUCAAGGUCAACACAGAGUCUACGAGAAUCCAGCACUGUUCUGUUUUUAAAUGCACCUGCACCCCUCUCCAGCUCCUACCAG